AGCAGCCGCGGUAAUUCCAGCUCCAAUAGCGUAUAUUAAAGUUGUUGCAGUUAAAAAGCUCGUAGUUGAAUUUCGGGAUCGAUACGUCGGUCGUGCCUUCGGUACGCACUGGCGUUUAUCGAUUUCUCCCUUCUGACGAACCAUGAUGUCAUUAAUUUGGUGUUAUGGGGAAUCAGGACUGUUACUUUGAAAAAAUUAGAGUGUUUAAAGCAGGCAUUAGCUUGAAUACAUUAGCAUGGAAUAAUGAAAUAGGACGUUCGAACCUAUUUUGUUGGUUUCUAGGAUCAACGUAAUGAUUAAUAGGGAUAGUUGGGGGCAUUAGUAUUCAAUUGUCAGAGGUGAAAUUCUUGGAUUUAUUGAAGACUAACUACUGCGAAAGCAUUUGCCAAGGAUGUUUUCAUUAAUCAAGAACGAAAGUUAGGGGAUCGAAGACGAUCAGAUACCGUCGUAGUCUUAACCAUAAACUAUGCCGACUAGGGAUCGGAUGAUGUUAAUUUUUUAAUGACUCAUUCGGUCGCCU
rnacentral:rRNA from 1 species